rnacentral:rRNA from 1 species
UACGUAGGGUGCAAGCGUUGUCCGGAAUUAUUGGGCGUAAAGAGCUCGUAGGCGGUUUGUCGCGUCGGCUGUGAAAACCUGGGGCUCAACCCCGGGCCUGCAGCCGAUACGGGCAAACUAGAAUUCGGUAGGGGAGACUGAAAUUCCUGGUGUAGCGGUGAAAUGCGCAGAUAUCAGGAGGAACACCGGUGGCGAAGGCGGGUCUCUGGGCCGAUAUUGACGCUGAGGAGCGAAAGCGUGGGGAGCAAACAGG